UACGUAGGGGUCGAGCGUUGUCCGGAGUUACUGGGCGUAAAGCGUGCGCAGGCGGCGGCCUGCGCCCGGCGUGAAAGCCCCCGGCUCAACCGGGGAGGGUCGUCGGGGACGGGGCCGCUUGAGGAUCGCAGGGGCUGGUGGAAUUCCCGGUGUAGUGGUGAAAUGCGUAGAGAUCGGGAGGAACACCCGUGGCGAAGGCGGCCAGCUGGGCGAUACCUGACGCUGAGGCACGAAGGCGUGGGGAGCGAACGGG
rnacentral:rRNA from 1 species